GCAGCAUCAAAGCACGGAAUAAAGCGAUCCCAUAAGCAAGUGAAAACCAAAAAUAGCCAUAACAAACCAGCCAAAAAAAUCUCGCACCAAAGCAGCACCAAAACAGAGGACAUGCAGUCCACCACCCCAUGCGCAGCAACAAAAAGGAGAAUGCCCACACCAGCCCCCCCAACCCAGCCCACGACCCAUAACUGAAAUCAGCAUAACAACAGACUGCAUGUCCCUGAGCAUAACAACAGAAGUAACGCUACAGCAAACCCCGAGCAGCCACCCCACACAGCAACAUGACCAAUGGCCAGCCUCAUACUGACUGCAUAACAGCAACCCAGACCAGCAAUGUUACAGCAGCGUGGUGCCUAUGCAAUCAGCAGUAACAAACCCACCAUAUUGAAUUAUUGAAGUAUAUAGCAUUAAAGCUUCCCCAAUGCAGAAUACCCACCAUAUAACAGCAACAAGGCAGUAGCAAUUAUUAUCCUAACUGCCUAACAACCUACCAAGUAAGCCUCCAAGCCUGACAAAGGCAGUAACCAGUAGCCCAAUGCCAGCCACCCCAGGAGCAAGAGAAACAGCAGUCGCCAACAUCUAAAAUAUCAUUUAACUGCUAUCAAAAUCAAUAGUCUAUUACCAGGCUCACUAAAACUUCAAAACAUGCUAUUAAAGGGAUAGAACAAUUAGCAUACUAUUAUCAGUUGUAAAUGAUAUAAAGCUUCUAUUUUUCUUUUUCAGUCCCCACAUUAUUGAAUUUCUGGACUUCUGUACUUAAUUUUAAACAAUCCUCUGUCCAAAAUCAAGAUUUGGUUUGUUCAAAGAGUGAUGAAUCCUUAAACCAACUAUCGAAUGAACUUAACCAAAUUAUAUUGUCCAUUUAAGGUAUUUAAUCAAGUAGCAGCAAGGUUUUGCAUAAUUUGCACCACAAGCCAUCCCAAUCACUUUCAAUAUUUAGAGUGUGACUUGUUUUUAUAUACACGGUUAUAUUGUAUAUUAGUGUCUACAAAAUGUGUAAGGAGUUCCUAAGGUAAUUGAAUCUUUUCAGUUUUCGUUAUCAUAGAAGUUAUCUUUUCUUUUACAAUGCAAAUUUCAAAAACUUUACACUAUUAUUAAUGCUCCAGCCCAAGAUAUGUGCCAACCCAAAACCCAGGCACCAGCAAAAAGCCAGCAGGGAAGCAGCCACACAAAAUUAACCCGACACCAACCCAACAUGAGCUAAAAAGUAACGAGCAUAAGCAGCAAGGUCAACAACAAAAAAGCAGCAAAACCAGCCCCUCCUCUGGUAUUCAAUGCAAGGACUGUCAUGUGAUGCAGAGGGGGAGAAUGAACAACCUAUUCACCAAAUUAACAGAUUUGAAGGAGGAUGGGAAAGAAAAAGAGGGGGGAACUUGACAUACUUAUUCAUCCAUAUGAAUUCUUUUCUAUGAAUACUUUCAGAAGAUUAUCAGCUGACCCACGUAUAAAUAUUUAUCAAAGUAAGAACUAAGAACCAUUAUGCUUAACCAUUGAUAACAUAAGUGAAAAAUGAAGUUGCAUUCCCCUUGAGAGGCAAAAGAGUUCCACCGUCACAAACCCAAAUAAAAUUAAACUAUGUACACCCUCCCUUAAGUGACCUUAAUGGCCUAAUCCAUUGGCACAUAUUUUGAAAAGAGGGCAAGUCAACUAUGGCUAUAUAGUUCCUUGUCUUUAAGCAAGACUUAAUGCUCCCACUAAAACCAAACUAAAUUACUAAAGUAUGAAAUACUACCUUUUAACAGCUACCCGUCAUGUAGAACUUUAAUCAAGGACAAAAACGUAACAAGGACAAUUGGUUGUUCAAACAAAUAACUUAAACAAAAGUUUUCUAUUUAUUUCAUUUAUACUGUUGAAAUCAUACUUUUGUUUGUGCUAAAUACAAAAGAUAUCACGAUGCAAAAUCAAGAACCCCCACAGAGUACAACAGAAACUUCAAUAAACAAGACAAACACAAAAUAAAAAUGAGAAUGAUAUUAAAUGCAUUGUGGUAUGAAUAUGAUACAAGACCAUUAGAACAGAAAGUAUGGGCUUACAAAUAUAAUACAAGUGUACAAGACAAAAUACCAAUGGAGACAUAGAGCUAAUUUCCCUUCUUUCAGCUUCACAUAAUCAAUAAUUCUUAUUUUUAGCUAAGCAAGAAACAAAGAUUCUAGAAUACUAUGUAACCAAAUUCUGAGCUCAGAUAUUCUGAUUUGUAUUGUUUCUGGAAAAAACAUAUUUCAACGGAUCAAAAUGGACUAGGUACAAUUUUUAGUUAUGCAAACCACGCUGAUUGAUUAAUUAUUUCAUUAGGUAGCAUAUUCUACUGACUCAAAGUUUAAGCUUCUGAUUAAUUACUCUUCAACUAAAUUUUCUUGCAUGUGUAAAAUUGGAAUUUAUAAACAAACUAAUAAAAACACAUUUCUAUGAUUUCGUAAGCCAAACAGAACUUGGUGGUGUACCAAAUUCAAAGAAAAUAAUAUGCAGGUCAUAUUACAACAACAACGAGGGAACCUGUUAUUUCAACUUGACUGAAUAACCCAAAAAAUAGAGACAAAAAUUUACAGAUAGAGACAUACUUUCUAUAUUAUAAAAAAGCAAACUCCAGCAAAAUUCAUCUGGGCAUACAUAAACACACUUUUUAUAUUAUAAAAAAUCAUCAUUUACAAACAGCAACCCAUGAUUUGAAAAAAUUAGCAAAAAAGAAUCCAGAUGGAAGACAAUCCUGGUAUAUAUAAUAAAAAUAUGUAAGUAGAUAAAUAAAGGAAGGUGUAAUGAAUAGGAGAAACUCACCCGGCCACAUAGGGCUAAUUUCAGAAAACCAGUAAAUGAAAUGAAAUAUAAACAAGUAAAUAUAAUGUGGGAAUUUACGGUGAUCAAUUCAUGUUGAAGAAAUAAGUAAAUAUAUUUACAAAGACAAUCAAUCAAAUGAAAUAUAAAUCAAAAUGAUGACCAGUAAUAAGUCAACAUGAAAACCAGUGAUAUGCCACUCAUCUAGCCCAAGAGCCCUUGUCAGAAAGAGCUACACCUCCUGCUUGUGUGACUCCCUCAUAAAUCUCUACUAGGAUAUUCAAAAGAAGAUUCCUU
rnacentral:lncRNA from 1 species